CGCGUAGGCGGUCUCUUAAGUCAGAUGUGAAAGCCCGGGGCUUAACCUCGGAAGUGCAUUUGAAACUAAGGGACUUGAGUAUGGGAGAGGGAAGUGGAAUUCCUGGUGUAGCGGUGAAAUGCGUAGAUAUCAGGAGGAACACCGGUGGCGAAGGCGACUUCCUGGACCAAUACUGACGCUGAGGCGCGAAGGCAUGGGGAGCAAACAGGAUUAGAUACCCUGGUAGUCC
rnacentral:rRNA from 1 species